rnacentral:piRNA from 1 species
UCACUGAGUGAUAAGCAUGGUUGGUUC